rnacentral:lncRNA from 1 species
UUUGUGUUGAUUUAUGAUUAACAACAGAAAAUACAAUACUUCAACAAAUUAGUUUUUUCAAUUAAAAGUUAUGAAAAAUCUCCUAUGAAAUGGUUCAUCUAAAUCUAAUUCCCUGCACGAUGCCUGUUGAAAUGAAAAACUGAAGAAACUUUAAAACUAGAUAAUGGCAACUGAAGAAGUUGAAACACCGUUAUUCAUGGUGUCAUAUCGAGGCUUCAGUCUCCAUGGAUGAAAGCACUAAAGAAGCGUAACGAUAAACUUUAAAGCAGAAUUUUGUUAUGCGAUUAUGGUGGCGAUAUGAGAGAACUACUGUGGCAGAAUAUUACAAUCGUAGAACAGUUUUGCAUCAAAUCAUUCUAUAAUAUUGGUUUUUUGUUGCUUUAAAAUAUUAUGAAAUUCAAA